GAGGAUGAGCUGAGCUCCUCACUCACACGUCUACCCCGGCGCCCCCAGACGAGAAGAAACCUACACUGAAGCCCCAGGGUCCCAAGAAACCACCCGCCGGAGGAGACUUUGACCUGACUGAUGCGCUGGGCGAUGGUAGCGAUGAACCGAAGCCUCAGCCAAAGCCCAGGCCACGCCCAGGGUCAGGCGAGUUCUCCAUCACCGACCUGGAAGAUGUGGUGGGGGGAGGAGGAGGAGGGGGCGGGGCCAAGAGGGACCAUGGCGGCGGAAGUGGGGACCCAGAAGCAGGUGAGCAUGCCACGCCCUCUGCAUGACGCCUCUUGACCCUGCCCCAUCCCGCCAGGAGCACUGAA